UUUUUUCCUUAGUAUUUAGUAAGUAAUGGGCUACCCUUCCUAGAAAUAUGACAUUUAAAUUACACGAGUAGCUGAAAUACCGCUUCACUGCUCCAACUUAAAAAUUGUAAAAAUUAUCAACAGCAAGAAGGUCAUAGUAUUUUCUCAGUCAUAUCUUUUAUUUGUCUCAACAGUUUUAAAUAACGUCAAUACGAAGUCUUCUUCUAGCACAUCGGAGUAACAAAUAUUAAGUACAAACAUGGAUGUUUCCCGUACACUGAGCAAGAGUUACAGGUACAAUGAGGCAAAAUAUUGUCAAGAGACAAAAUAUCCUAGUGUUAAUUCUGACAAGAUUUUAAUGUUAGGCUAUUAUUUUAAACGAGUUGCAUAUCCGUGUGAUUUUAAAAGAAGGAAAGACAUCUCUGGUUUGCGUGCAUAUGUCAGGGCUAAUAUGACUGAAUGAUAAAGACGCGCGGAGGAUUGGGUGUCAACUCGCGCUCGGGUGACUCGAGUAAACGGAGUCUGAGCUGAAUUAUAAUUCGCCAAGAACUAGGACAUGGUGGCUCCGCCCACUUAUCAAAAAUCAGCUCGUUGAUUGGACAAAGAUACGCGAGUGAGGCGAAAUCUAUGGGUGUGUCAUGAAGCGUGACCAAACUAUGAUUGGCUUUCGCUUCUAUCCGUCAGAAUCCGAAUAGCGGCUGCUAGAGCCAAACCACAUUUUACACAUUAAGGAACUGUUUCUGGUAAAGUGUCGCUGAUACUAAGACAGGAUAAAUAAUAUCGUGCCCUCCUGGUCACAAACUGAAUUAAAACUGAAGAAGUUUAAACGGUUACUUCAAGAAAGCAAACCAGAGAGAAAAAAAUCCUUAUGUUUUAUGUUUUAAAUAAUGUGUAGAUGAUAAAGCUCUUUCUUCAAGACGAACACAAUUCCGAUUAAAUCGACGGAGAAGUCACUUGACAUGCACUUCACGGACCCCCACGGACUACUACGGUAACAUAAGAGCUAUUUAUACCAAUGGCACAGGGCUACAGGAGCAACUCAGACCAUCUCUCCCCUCACGAACACACACAUAGACACUUUCUCUAGUGCUCACACACUUAUGUGUACACAUCACCUGC
ensembl:lncRNA